UACGUAGGGUGCAAGCGUUGUCCGGAAUUAUUGGGCGUAAAGAGCUCGUAGGUGGCCUGUCGCGUCGGCUGUGAAAACUCGGGGCUCAACUCCGAGCUUGCAGUCGAUACGGGCAGGCUAGAGUUCGGCAGGGGAGAACGGAAUUCCCGGUGUAGCGGUGAAAUGCGCAGAUAUCGGGAGGAACACCGGUGGCGAAGGCGGUUCUCUGGGCCUGUACUGACGCUGAGGAGCGAAAGCGUGGGGAGCGAACAGG
rnacentral:rRNA from 1 species